rfam:Calypte anna contig8577, whole genome shotgun sequence.
GGGGAUGUAGCUCAGCGGUAGAGCGCUUGCUUUGCAUGUAAGAGGCCCUGGGUUCAACCCCCAGCAUCUCCA